rnacentral:rRNA from 1 species
GAUGAACGCUAGCGGUGUGCCUAAUGCAUGCAAGUCACGGGAUCCUUUGGAUUCGUCUGAAGGUGAGAGUGGCGAACGGGUGAGUAACACGUUGGUGACCUACCCCAGAGAGGGGGAUAACUAUUGGAAACGAUAGCUAAUACCCCGGAUGUCAUUGUAGUUAGAGAGCAAUGACUAAAGCUCCGGCGCUCGCUCCGGCGCUCUGGGAGGGGCCUGCGACCCAUCAGCUUGUUGGUAAGGUAACGGCUUACCAAGGCUAAGACGGGUAGGGGACGUGAGAGCGUGAUCCCCCACACUGGUACUGACACACGGACCAGAUACCUACGGGUAGCAGCAGCAAGGAAUAUUGCGCAAUGGACGAAAGUCUGACGCAGCAACACCGCGUGAAGGACGAAGGCCUUCGGGUUGUAAACUUCUUUUCUGGGGGAAGAGAACGGACGGUACCCCAGGAAUAAGCCUCGGCUAACUACGUGCCAGCAGCCGCGGUAAAACGUAGGAGGCGAGCGUUAUCCGGAUUUACUGGGUGUAAAGCGCGUGCAGGCGGUAGCGUAAGUCGUGUGUGAAAGCGCUCAGGCUCAACCGGGCGAGGACAUGCGAAACUGCGCAACUUGAGAUAGGUAGAGGUAUGUGGAAUUCCGGGUGUAGUGGUGAAAUGCGUAGAGAUCCGGAGGAACACCAGUGGCGAAGGCGACAUACUGGGCCUUAUCUGACGCUAAGACGCGAAAGCAUGGGGAGCAAACGGGAUUAGAAACCCCGGUAGUCCAUGCCGUAAACGAUGUGUACUAAGUGUUGGGGCGUAGAACCCCCAGUGCUGAAGCCAACGUGAUAAGUACACCACCUGGGGAGUACGGCCGCAAGGCUAAAACUCAAAGGAAUUGACGGGGACCCGCACAAGCAGCGGAGCGUGUGGUUUAAUUCGAGGCUACGCGAAGAACCUUACCAGGGUUUGACAUAUACGUGGUAGUGAGUCGAAAGGUGACCGACCCUUCGGGGAGCGUAUACAGGUGCUGCAUGGCUGUCGUCAGCUCGUGCCGUGAGGUGUUAGGUUAAGUCCUGUAACGAGCGCAACCCUCGUCGUUAGUUAUACGUGUCUAACGAGACUGCCGGUGAUAAGCCGGAGGAAGGUGGGGAUGACGUCAAGUCAGCAUGGCCUUUAUAUCCUGGGCUACACACACGCUACAAUGGCCGAUACAAUGGGUAGCCAAGUCGCGAGACGGAGCCAAUCCUAAAAAGUCGGUCUCAGUUCGGAUUGCAGGCUGCAACUCGCCUGCAUGAAGUAGGAGUUGCUAGUAACCGCGCGUCAGCACCAGUGCGGUGAAUACGUUCCCGGGUCUU